GAUGACGACAGAAUAUCCAGGCCACUAUGGUGAGGAAAUGGACAUGAUUUCCUACAAUUAUGAUUACUAUAUGCGAGGAGCAACAACCACUUUCUCUGCAGUAGAAAGGGAUCGCCAGUGGAAAUUCAUAAUGUGCCGGAUGACUGACUACGACUGUGAAUUUGCAAAUGUUUAGAUUUGCAACCUACCAAUCUGGGUGAAGGGAAGAGGGCCAGGAGACCAGAGGAUGUCCAUAUAAGUGAACAUCAGUUGGGACUCCUAAGUGAUUUCUGCUGCUCUCUUUUCUUCUCCCCGAGCUGGUGGGUAGUUGCAAUGCCAGCUUUCUGGGCCUUUCUGACUGGUAUCACACUUAUAAUAAAAUCUACAAUUUCUCACUUUCAACAUGUUCCAUAGCAACCAUUUUAUAUGAGUGACAAUGGCUCUCUUGCACACCAUAUAGUCUGUGUGCCUGCUCAUAGCCUGAAAAAAACCCUGGUUCUUGGAACACCUGUCGCAGCCUUUCUGCUGCUUUUACUACCAAAUGAGCUGCCUGAUGCUUAGCAAUGUCUGUGAAGAAGUUCAGUGGAGUGAAGUGAAGGGGCAGCAGUUGAGAAGGUGGCAGUUAAGGUUCUCUCAGCUACAUCUGUUUGAGUGACAUCUGGGGUCCCCCCAGAGAGCAGACCUUCUGCCUCAAGGGGACAUGCUUCCAUUCUGUCUUUCCACAUAAGCCACAUUUGCCUGGAAGUUUAAUUGAAGGGCAUCUUUCUCAGAGGUGGCACUGUCUCUCCUCUUCCUGUGAUGUCUCUCUCUCUAGCCCCUUGUACUCACUUCAUCAUAAAAGGAAUAAAAAUAUUAACAUUCACUAUGCUGCAAAUGUUAAGGGUCAGUUUUUGCUUGUUAUUCCUCCUCUUUCUAAUUGUUUGUCCAUCAAUUCAGAAAAUAUAGCUCAGCCUUGUGAUUUGUGCCAAGCACCAUGCAGAGCACCAGGAAUGUAAUACCGAUAAAGACAGAGUAUGGCUGAGAAACCCAAUAAGUAAAACGAAGUGCUAAGGGCUUUCAUUAAAAUUGGACAAAGAGCAGAACCACAUUUCCUCAGUUUUUAAAUCUAGGCUGAUUUGUCCUCAGCAACCUACAAACCUCCUAGCACUGAUCUGUCACAUGAUUUUUAACCAAAGGGAGCCCCUAUUUCUUUUAUACACACUGUUUGUCUUUUCCUUUCAGAUCUAGGCUGCCCUUCCCUUCUCUUCUCUCCUAGGAGACCCAGGAGAGCAGGCACCCAGGCAAAACCACAGGGGUCACCACCUUGUUAUGCACCCCAUGAAGGUGGCCAAGAAAACGAAUCUCAGGUAGUGGUGUUGCAUUUCCCGUAGUGAGGUCCCAAUAUUAAGAAGAGGACAGCAGAGGACUCCUUUGCCCUAAUGCUGAGGCCCUUUUUUGUACAGUGGUUUUGCUUUAUUUCCUCCCUUUGAUUGUUUCUACCUCUCUGGCAAUUUUAACUUACAAUGAGCUUCACAGGAUCAUUUUUCACAAAGGGCACCAUUAAUAUUUUAGCAACUGCAACACUGGGUCAGGAUGGCGGCCAGGAAAUGGCCUUAGUUGAGUGUUUGGAGCACAGCUGGAAAGGAGGCAAGCAACGUGGACUGACUGACUUGGCACCAUGAUGAAAACAAAAUUCUGGGGAGGGGAGGGGGGCACCAGGGAGUGGGUGCUGGGAGUGGAGGGAUACAGCUGGGAGGAGCAGUCCAGGAGACGCCAGAAAGCACAAAUCAAGACAGAAACUGAUAAUGCAGUCCAAUAAGUGUUUGUGCCAAGCGGAAUAAAUGAAGAGAUAGAAGAGAAGAACUCUUUUUG
rnacentral:lncRNA from 1 species